AAAAUAACAAUGAUUUCCCUAGUAACGGCGAGUGAAGAGGAAAGAGCUCAAAGUUGGAACCUGUUUGGCUUAGCUAAACCGGAUUGUAAACUGUAGAAGUGUUUUCCAGGCACGCCAGAUAAAAAAGUCCUUUGGAACAGGGCAUCAUAGAGGGUGAGAAUCCCGUCUUUGGUCUGAGCAGUUGUCUAUUGUGAUACACUUUCAAAGAGUCAGGUUGUUUGGGAAUGCAGCCUAAAUUGGGUGGUAAAUCUCACCUAAAGCUAAAUAUUUGCGAGAGACCGAUAGCGAACAAGUACCGUGAGGGAAAGAUGAAAAGAACUUUGAAAAGAGAGUUAAACAGUAUGUGAAAUUGUUAAAAGGGAACCGUUUGGAGCCAGACUGGCUUGACUGUAAUCAUUCUGGGCUUUGGCCUGGAUGCACUUGCGGUCUAUGCCUGCCAAUAACAGUUUUGCUUGGGGGAAAAAACUAUUAGGAAUGUGGCCCUUCGGGGUGUUAUAGCCUAGUAGAAAAUACCCUGGGCGGGACUGAGGAACGCAGUGAAUGCCCUUGGGCAAGAUUGCUGGGUGCUUUUGCUGAUAGAUGCUAGAAUUUCUGCCUCGGGUGGUGCUAGUGUCUAAAGGUAAAACUCGCUUGGUAUAUUUUUUAUUCGCUUAGGUUGUUGGCUUAAUGACUCUAAAUGAC
rnacentral:rRNA from 1 species